UACGAGGGGGGCAAGCGUUGUUCGGAAUUAUUGGGCGUAAAGAGCGUGUAGGCGGCCCGGUAAGUCCGCUGUGAAAGUCCAGGGCUCAACCCUGGAAUGCCGGUGGAAACUGUCGGGCUAGAGUCCGGAAGAGGCGAGUGGAAUUCCUGGUGUAGCGGUGAAAUGCGCAGAUAUCAGGAGGAACACCAAUGGCGAAGGCAGCUCGCUGGGACGGUACUGACGCUGAGACGCGAAAGCGUGGGGAGCAAACAGG
rnacentral:rRNA from 1 species